rnacentral:rRNA from 1 species
AUUGAACGCUGGCGGCAGGCCUAACACAUGCAAGUCGAGCGGAUGACGGGAGCUUGCUCCUUGAUUCAGCGGCGGACGGGUGAGUAAUGCCUAGGAAUCUGCCUGGUAGUGGGGGACAACGUUUCGAAAGGAACGCUAAUACCGCAUACGUCCUACGGGAGAAAGCAGGGGACCUUCGGGCCUUGCGCUAUCAGAUGAGCCUAGGUCGGAUUAGCUAGUUGGUGAGGUAAUGGCUCACCAAGGCGACGAUCCGUAACUGGUCUGAGAGGAUGAUCAGUCACACUGGAACUGAGACACGGUCCAGACUCCUACGGGAGGCAGCAGUGGGGAAUAUUGGACAAUGGGCGAAAGCCUGAUCCAGCCAUGCCGCGUGUGUGAAGAAGGUCUUCGGAUUGUAAAGCACUUUAAGUUGGGAGGAAGGGCAGUAAGCUAAUACCUUGCUGUUUUGACGUUACCGACAGGAUAAGCACCGGCUAACUCUGUGCCAGCAGCCGCGGUAAAAC